rnacentral:rRNA from 1 species
CUGUCGGCGUGCUUAACACAUGCAAGUCGAACGGAAAGGCCCUGCUUUUGUGGGGUGCUCGAGUGGCGAACGGGUGAGUAACACGUGAGUAACCUGCCCUUGACUUUGGGAUAACUUCAGGAAACUGGGGCUAAUACCGGAUAGGAGCUCCUGCUGCAUGGUGGGGGUUGGAAAGUUUCGGCGGUUGGGGAUGGACUCGCGGCUUAUCAGCUUGUUGGUGGGGUAGUGGCUUACCAAGGCUUUGACGGGUAGCCGGCCUGAGAGGGUGACCGGCCACAUUGGGACUGAGAUACGGCCCAGACUCCUACGGGAGGCAGCAGUGGGGAAUAUUGCACAAUGGGCGGAAGCCUGAUGCAGCAACGCCGCGUGCGGGAUGACGGCCUUCGGGUUGUAAACCGCUUUCGCCUGUGACGAAGCGUGAGUGACGGUAAUGGGUAAAGAAGCACCGGCUAACUACGUGCCAGCAGCCGCGGUGAUACGUAGGGUGCGAGCGUUGUCCGGAUUUAUUGGGCGUAAAGGGCUCGUAGGUGGUUGAUCGCGUCGGAAGUGUAAUCUUGGGGCUUAACCCUGAGCGUGCUUUCGAUACGGGUUGACUUGAGGAAGGUAGGGGAGAAUGGAAUUCCUGGUGGAGCGGUGGAAUGCGCAGAUAUCAGGAGGAACACCAGUGGCGAAGGCGGUUCUCUGGGCCUUUCCUGACGCUGAGGAGCGAAAGCGUGGGGAGCGAACAGGCUUAGAUACCCUGGUAGUCCACGCUGUAAACGGUGGGUACUAGGUGUGGGGUCCAUUCCACGGGUUCCGUGCCGUAGCUAACGCUUUAAGUACCCCGCCUGGGGAGUACGGCCGCAA